rnacentral:rRNA from 1 species
CCUACGGGAGGCAGCAGUGAGGAAUAUUGGUCAAUGGACGGAAGUCUGAACCAGCCAUGCCGCGUGCAGGAAGACGGCCCUAUGAGUUGUAAACUGCUUUUGUACAAGGGUAAACACGAAUACGUGAAUUUAGCCGUAAGUACUGUACGAAUAAGGAUCGGCUAACUCCGCGCCAGCAGACGCGGAAAUACGGAGGAUCCAAGCGUUAUGUGGUCUUAUUGGGUUUAAAGGGAGCGUAGGCGGAUUGAUAAGUUAGGGGUGAGAUGUCCGAGCUUAACUCGGGAACUGCCUCUAAUACUGUUGAUCGAGAGAGUAGAUGCGGUAGGGGGAAUGUAGGGUGUAGCGGUGAAAUGCUUAGAGAUCAUACAGAACACGGAUUGCGAAGGAAGCUUACCAAUCUAUAUCUGGCGUUGGGGCACGAGAGCGUGGGGAGCAAACAGGAUUAGAUACCCUUGAGU